rnacentral:miRNA from 1 species
GGAAAAUUUCUGGGUGCUUUU